UUGAAAGUUAUGAAGUGCGCUACAUGAGUAAGGUAUUUACCAUGUUAAUAUUAAUACAAUAUAUUCUUAGACUGGCGCCAAAGUUUAUCAGCAAUGUAUCCUGCAGUAAGCUUGCUGCAUUUGGAGAAAACUGGGCUCUAGAAGUGGAUGCAUCUUUGGAAACUCUGUGACAAUUAUGUGAAAGUGCAGUUGUCCUGCUGAAUCACUGCCACUAUUUUCCGAGCUUCAAGUUAAGGCUGAGACCCUCAGAAGUCUCAUCAGUCAAUGUCUUCCAUGGUCCACAGAUACAUGAGAGGUUUGGAGCACAUAGUCACUGGCUGCAUUUUAACGCAGCAACUUAAUGGAGCCUGAAAUUUUAAGUUAUCGUGGAUGGAGAUCAGAUGGUCUACCUACCUUGUGGGAAUCUGGAGACGGUUAAUGAGAUGAGUUCUUUGGAAGAAUCGUUGCUAUAUAAAUACGAAUCAGAGCAAAUACAAUAAUUCUGCCCCCAAAAUUGCCUUAGGGGUAGAACAGUGUUCAAUAAACAUAGUAUAAUA